rnacentral:rRNA from 1 species
CGGCGGACGGGUGAGUAACGCGUGGGUAACCUGCCUCAUACAGGGGGAUAACAGUUGGAAACGGCUGCUAAUACCGCAUAAGCGCACAGUACCGCAUGGUACGGUGUGAAAAACUCCGGUGGUAUGAGAUGGACCCGCGUCUGAUUAGGUAGUUGGUGGGGUAACGGCCUACCAAGGCGACGAUCAGUAGCCGACCUGAGAGGGUGAUCGGCCACAUUGGAACUGAGACACGGUCCAAACUCCUACGGGAGGCAGCAUG